GAUGAAGAACGCAGCGAAAUGCGAUAAGUAAUGUGAAUUGCAGAAUUCAGUGAAUCAUCGAAUCUUUGAACGCACAUUGCGCCCGUCAGUAUUCUGGCGGGCAUGCCUGUUCGAGCGUCAUUACGCCCCUCAAGUCCCCUGUGGACUUGGUGUUGGGGAUCGGCGAGGCUGGUUUUCCAGCACAGCCGUCCCUUAAAUUAAUUGGCGGUCUCGCCGUGGCCCUCCUCUGCGCAGUAGUAAAACACUCGCAACUGGAGCCCGGCGCGGUCCACUGCCGUAAAACCCCCCAACUUUUUAUAGUUGACCUCGAAUCAGGUAGGACUACCCGCUGAACUUAAGCAUAUCAAUAAGCGGAGGA
rnacentral:misc_RNA from 1 species